GACUGCCCCCAGGCCCUGUGACCGACUCACACUGAGGAUUGAACCCAGAGCUUCUCACAUGCCAGGAGACUCUCAGCCCCACCAUCUGUCACUUCAAUUACCUGAAAGGGAAGGACAACCCCUCCUCUUAACACUGAGCACCACUCCUCUGCUACAACUUGCAUGCACUAAGCGGACCUGCCCUCAGAAAAAAUGGGGGAAAACCCGUUUCUCAUUGUGAUCUGUAAUGGCUGCCUAGAAGAGCAAGCCACUGUGAUGUCAGUUUCAAUACCUUCCCAAGACAAAGAUGGUGAAAGAAUGGAAUACAAUCAUGGAGAAAGACUUAGGUGGCGUUUCCAGAGGCAGACAAUAU
ensembl:antisense Gm13782 predicted gene 13782